rnacentral:rRNA from 1 species
UUAGAACGUCGUGAGACAGUUCGGUCUCUAUCCGCCGCGCGCGUUGAAACUUGAAGAAGGCUGUCCCUAGUACGAGAGGACCGGGACGGACGUACCUCUAGUGUGCCAGUUGUCACGCCAGUGGCAGGGCUGGUUGGCUACGUACGGGAGGGAUAACCGCUGAAAGCAUCUAAGCGGGAAGCCUGUUUUGAGAUGAGGUUUCUUUUGAGGUUCCCUCUAGACUAGGGGGUUGAUAGGCCAGAUCUGGAAGCGUAGUAAUGCGUUAAGGUGACUGGUACUAAUUUUACCGAGUAAUAACA